GUAGCGGUGGUGCUGCAGGAGGCGUGGCUCCUGUGUCAGCCUCCAACUUGGUCGUGUCCCCUUUCUGGCUCACCCUAUCUCCUCUCUGACUAGAGAUUGCAGCAGUUUGAUCUGAGACUCACCCAGAAAUCUGGUCUAAGUGCAACUUCAGGGAAGUUCCUGGUGCUGUCGGGUUAUUCAUCUCUCGCUACAAAAGUGACCGCAGACCACACAGAGAGAAUGGACAUGGCUGUGAUCCAAUAAAGCUUUAUUUAUUUGCGGA